AACGCUGGCGGCGUGCCUAACACAUGCAAGUCAACUUGACUGAAGGAGCAAUCUGACAGUAGAGUGGCGCAAGGGUGCGUAACGCGUAAGUAACUUGCCCCAAGGUAAGGAAUAACGUCGAGAAAUCGGCGCUAAUACCUCAUAAUGCAGCGGAUCCGCAUGGAUAUGUUGUUAAAGGUUUACCGCCUUGGGAUAGGCUUGCGUCUGAUUAGCUAGUUGGUGUGGUAACGGCACACCAAGGCUACGAUCGGUAACUGGUCUGAGAGGAUGAUCAGUCACACUGGAACUGAGACACGGUCCAGACUCCUACGGGAGGCAGCAGUGAGGAAUAUUGGGCAAUGCUCGAAAGAGUGACCCAGCAACGCCGCGUGGAGGAUGAAGGUAUUCUAUAUCGUAAACUCCUGUGAGAGCAGACGAAAGACAGAUUAUUAAUCUGGAUGACUGUAUGCUCAGAGGAAGCCCCGGCUAACUACGUG
rnacentral:rRNA from 1 species